CUGACAAUGCAUCUGAUUAGGUG
rnacentral:snRNA from 1 species